AGAUGCAGAGCAGGGGGCUGAUGGGAGAGGAAGGCUGCAGAGGGCCAGCAGACCUGUGGCCACUUUAUCCAGAUCCUGCAGUUGAAGGAAGAAUACCUGCAGAGAGCCACAGGACCCCGUGAGGUCAGCCCUGAGCCCUCCACCAGGGAGAAGGAGUGUCUGCUUGAAGGCCUGGACCACCCCACUUGCUGCCAGCCUGUCAGUGAUCACCACCCAUUCACAGGAGACUGCGUGUUGGCCUCUUCCAGGGUGGAGGCAACUCCUUGGAACCACUUCCACAGUUUGGACAAGGAGCUUCAAAACUCGGCCAUGGCCAAGGUUUGCCCAGCGAGGAGAAAAGUGAGGAAGAGAAAAUGAAGGAAGAGGACAGCUCAUUCAUCCCAGGCAUUGUUGCCCUCCAGUCGCCACUGAACAAGGCUUUCAGAGCCACAGACACAGUGGGGGCUU
rnacentral:sRNA from 1 species